rnacentral:rRNA from 1 species
AUUGAACGCUGGCGGCAUGCCUUACACAUGCAAGUCGAACGGUAACGCGGGGCAACCUGGCGACGAGUGGCGAACGGGUGAGUAACGCAUCGGAACGUGCCCAGUAGUGGGGGAUAGCCCGGCGAAAGCCGGAUUAAUACCGCAUACGACCUACGGGUGAAAGGGGGGGAUCGCAAGACCUCUCGCUAUCGGAGCGGCCGAUGUCAGAUUAGGUAGUUGGUGGGGUAAAAGCCUACCAAGCCGACGAUCUGUAGCUGGUCUGAGAGGACGACCAGCCACACUGGGACUGAGAGACGGCCCAGACUCCUACGGGAGGCAGCAGUGGGGAAUUUUGGACAAUGGGCGCAAGCCUGAUCCAGCCAUGCCGCGUGCGGGAAGAAGGCCUUCGGGUUGUAAACCGCUUUUGUCAGGGAAGAAAAGCUCCGGGCUAAUACCUCGGAGUGAUGACGGUACCUGAAGAAUAAGCACCGGCUAACUACGUGCCAGCCGCCGCCGUAAAAC